UGUUGUGAUUGUUGUCCUU
rnacentral:miRNA from 1 species